rnacentral:rRNA from 1 species
GACCGGGUGGUUAUAGCGAAGGCUCCACACCCGUUCCCAUCCCGAACACGGCCGUUAAGACCUUCUGCGCCAAUGGUACUAUGUCCUAAGGCAUGGGAGAGUAGGUCGCCGCCCGGUC